UACGAAGGGGGCUAGCGUUGCUCGGAAUGACUGGGCGUAAAGGGCGCGUAGGCGGAUGGCACAGUCAGAUGUGAAAUUCCCGGGCUCAACCUGGGGCUGCGCUUGAUACUGAUGAGCUUGAAUGCGGGAGAGGAUAGUGGAAUUCCCAGUGUAGAGGGUGAAAUUCGUAGAUAUUGGGAAGAACACCGGUGGCGAAGGCGGGCUAUCUGGCCCGUAAUUGACGCUGAGGCGCGAAAGCCGUGGGGAGCAAACAGGGAU
rnacentral:rRNA from 1 species